rnacentral:rRNA from 1 species
UACGUAGGUGGCAAGCGUUAUCCGGAUUUACUGGGUGUAAAGGGAGCGUAGACGGCAGAGCAAGCCAGGAGUGAAAGCCCGGGGCCCAACCCCGGGACUGCUCUUGGAACUGCGUGGCUGGAGUGCAGGAGGGGCAGGCGGAAUUCCUGGUGUAGCGGUGAAAUGCGUAGAUAUCAGGAGGAACACCGGUGGCGAAGGCGGCCUGCUGGACUGCAACUGACGUUGAGGCCCGAAAGCGUGGGGAGCAAACAGG